GACGUAGGGCGCGAGCGUUGUCCGGAUUUAUUGGGCGUAAAGAGCUCGUAGGCGGCUUGUUGCGUCGACUGUGAAAACCCGCGGCUUAAUGCGGGCUUGCAGUUGAUACGGGCAGGCUAGAGUUCGGUAGGGGGAGACUGGAAUUCCUGGUGUAGCGGUGAAAUGCGCAGAUAUCAGGAGGAACACCGGUGGCGAAGGCGACUCCUGGCCUGUUCGUUGACGCUGAGGCGCGAAAGCUAGGGGAGCAAACGGG
rnacentral:rRNA from 1 species